UACGGAGGGGCUAGCGUUGUUCGGAAUUACUGGGCGUAAAGCGCGCGUAGGCGGCUUUGUAAGUUAGAGGUGAAAGCCCGGAGCUCAACUCCGGAAUUGCCUUUAAGACUGCAUCGCUAGAAUCAUGGAGAGGUGAGUGGAAUUCCGAGUGUAGAGGUGAAAUUCGUAGAUAUUCGGAAGAACACCAGUGGCGAAGGCGACUCACUGGACAUGUAUUGACGCUGAGGUGCGAAAGCGUGGGGAGCAAACAGGG
rnacentral:rRNA from 1 species